rnacentral:rRNA from 1 species
UACGUAGGGUGUGAGCGUUGUCCGGAAUUAUUGGGCGUAAAGGGCUCGUAGGCGGUUUGUCGCGUCGGGAGUGAAAACACUGGGCUUAACUCAGUGCUUGCUUCCGAUACGGGCAGACUAGAGGUAUGCAGGGGAGAACGGAAUUCCUGGUGUAGCGGUGAAAUGCGCAGAUAUCAGGAGGAACACCGGUGGCGAAGGCGGUUCUCUGGGCAUUACCUGACGCUGAGGAGCGAAAGUGUGGGGAGCGAACAGG